UCAGUCCAUUUCUGAACAUCAGAGAAUCCACACAGGGGAGAGGCCCUAUGAAUGCAGUGAAUGUGGAAAAUGCUUCACUAAGAGCUCAGGCCUUUCUGAACAUGAGAGAAUCCACACAGGGGAGAGGCCCUAUGAAUGCCAUGAGUGUGGGAAAAGCGCCUCGUGGCACUCAGCCCAUGUUAGCCAUCAGAGAAUCUGCAAGGGAGAUCAACACCAUAAAAACCUCUCGGGCUAGCAAUACUUUUUUUU